rnacentral:rRNA from 1 species
GACGAACGCUGGCGGCGUGCUUAACACAUGCAAGUCGAACGGAAAGGCCCUGCUUUUGUGGGGUGCUCGAGUGGCGAACGGGUGAGUAACACGUGAGUAACCUGCCCUUGACUUUGGGAUAACUUCAGGAAACUGGGGCUAAUACCGGAUAGGAGCUCCUGCUGCAUGGUGGGGGUUGGAAAGUUUCGGCGGUUGGGGAUGGACUCGCGGCUUAUCAGCUUGUUGGUGGGGUAGUGGCUUACCAAGGCUUUGACGGGUAGCCGGCCUGAGAGGGUGACCGGCCACAUUGGGACUGAGAUACGGCCCAGACUCCUACGGGAGGCAGCAGUGGGGAAUAUUGCACAAUGGGCGGAAGCCUGAUGCAGCAACGCGGCGUGCGGGAUGACGGCCUUCGGGUUGUAAACCGCUUUCGCCUGUGACGAAGCGUGAGUGACGGUAAUGGGUAAAGAAGCAUCGGCUAACUACGUG